CUGACAUUUUAACCUAGAAUGAGGCAGAUUAAAAAAAUGUAUUAUGCGAAACGUAUUUAUGACAAUUCUCAAUAACAACUACAGUCCGCUAGCUUGAUCAGUGGUGAAUGGAUGCAAUAAUAAAAGCAAGUAUGCUAUUUCAAAUCUAUCAGUGUAGAUCAAGAGAUCAAAUCAAGAGGCUGACUAUAAAUCCCGAAUAUCUAUCUAAUCUCUGACCCAUCAUUGUCCGGUCCUAGAUAAAUUGAACAAUAUAAUAAUUCAUUAUUUUAGUCUUACAUCAUUCAUAGGGCUGCACUGCCUGCAAACUGUCUGUGAUUGCCAUUGCUCGAGGGCAUACGUUGUGGUUGAAAUCUGGUCGGGAGGUUUUAUACCCAUAUGACAACCAGAUUUCAUGCAAAAUACGUUUUUUUUCAUGAUGUCAUGAAAAAUAUGUAUUAAUCUGAUCGAACUACUGACCAGUUAUCUAAAUGCUACUCAAUUAAUAAACAUGUGCAUAGUGUUUGUGGGCCAUGCACCCAUUGAAUAUAUGACAUUGGAACCAUUACAAUUAUACAAAUUGGAGUAAUGUUCUUUUUCAGAAGGGUUUGCAUGAUUCCGUUUAGAACAGUUGGCAAAUAACAGCUGGCAGAGCGCACCAAAGCGGGUUAGGGUCUCAUGGACCCAGUCAAGGAGCUGGGCCUAUUCCGUUUGAGACUCGGACUCAGGGGGCUUCAUGCGGGCGGAGCUCUUCCCGAUUCCGAUAUAAUCAUAUUACCUUGGGCUAAGUCUAAUGGUACUCGGGCCGAGUCCUCAUCAGUUUUCCGGUCCAAUUAACUUUUUCAGGAGUAGGGCCAUUUUACGUUUUUAUCCGGCAGGUGAUGAAAUACCAGUUAAAAAAUGUGUUAUAUUUCACCUCCAAUGCAUCGAAUUUGCUUGGUCAUUAGCAAGCUAAAAUGUGUGACAGUCUCUGCGGCCCUAUAGCUAUCAGAGAUGGUUCCUAAUUUAGAGGAUCUAUGCUUUAAAUGCUUUUGAUUUUAGUACAGGCAAUGGCAAUGCUUUUCGUAGUUGCAGUCCACCGAAUUGAAAAGUGCACAUUCACUUCCCUAAUAUUUGUUAUAGGCUACCAGCAUGUAAGAUGAACAUGCACUAUAAUAUAGUAUAUGCCUACCCUUACAAAAAUGUACUGCCGUUAAAAUACAGUAAUGAAAUAACGUUUUUUAAAUGAAUAAUAUCUGGUAGAUUGCUGUGUGUGGCUUUUAAUGGUAAUCGUUUGUUUAUUGUGCUGUGCAUUUUCUUCUGUUCCACUGAAUGCAAUUUCGAUUUUAUAGAGUAACUAAAUUAGUUUUCAGAAUUUAACAAAAAAACACGUAGGCCUAUGUAUUUUAUUUCAAUAUCCUACUACAAUCCACCAGGAUUUACAACCCCCUAUAUUUAUUCAAUUUAUUUCAAUAGUCAAACAUUAUUGCACCUGAAUUUGACCCUGACAAUUAUAUUGUCCCUUAAAGCUUUUGAGCAAUUCAAAUUACUGCACGCAUUGUUAUUUUAAUGUCAGUAGCUAAAUGAGGAGGUAGGCAUAUCUGUUCCAACUAAAAUUUGGAUUGGAACCGGUGCUAGCAGCAAUAGAUCUCCGUGCGCCGUGCAGGCAGCUUGAGCGAUCAAGCGCAUUGCUCAUGCGUCAUUGGAACAGAGCGCCCUGUAGGUUACCCAACAACACAGCUGGAAAACAAUGACAGCUUCGAAAUUUGCACAAAAACGUCGAUAACAUUCUCCUGCAUUCUUGUUUUACUUUUGUAAGUAAGGCGGCGGUUUGUUGGGGAGAAGAACUUCAAGGAAAGUUUUGCUAGCUGGCUAAUUUUAGCUAGCUAAUAUUAGCUCUCUAGCUAAUCUUCUAUGGACAUGGUAAGUUAACAUUUUUACCUCCUGCAGCUAGCUAACAUUUUUACAUUUUGAAAUCUGUUUAGCUAAUGACGGUGUUGCUGUCUGUCUCUCUCUGUCUCUGUAUGUGUGUGUGUGUUGCUGUCUGUCUCUCUCUGUCUGUGUAUGUGUGUGGGAGAGACGGACAGAGUGACGACGAUCACAAUAACUUUAGAAAACGUGUGCAAAAUGCUUACAAUCUGACCCAUCACACAACUAUUCAAGAGGGCCACUAUGCUCCAGAUCGCCUUCUCUGCUCUGCAGUCCUCGAUGAGGAUCUACCCGAUUACACCACUCUUAUUAGGCAUGAAUAAAAAUCCCAACGUGCAUUUAUA